rnacentral:rRNA from 1 species
UGUGAGCUCGAUGAGUAGGGCGGGACACGUGGUAUCCUGUCUGAAUAUGGGGGGACCAUCCUCCAAGGCUAAAUACUCCUGACUGACCGAUAGUGAACCAGUACCGUGAGGGAAAGGCGAAAAGAACCCCGGCGAGGGGAGUGAAAAAGAACCUGAAACCGUGUACGUACAAGCAGUGGGAGCACGCUUAGGCGUGUGACUGCGUACCUUUUGUAUAAUGGGUCAGCGACUUAUAUUCUGUAGCAAGGUUAACCGAAUAGGGGAGCCGAAGGGAAACCGAGUCUUAACUGGGCGUUAAGUUGCAGGGUAUAGACCCGAAACCCGGUGAUCUAGCCAUGGGCAGGUUGAAGGUUGGGUAACACUAACUGGAGGACCGAACCGACUAAUGUUGAAAAAUUAGCGGAUGACUUGUGGCUGGGGGUGAAAGGCCAAUCAAACCGGGAGAUAGCUGGUUCUCCCCGAAAGCUAUUUAGGUAGCGCCUCGUGAAUUCAUCUCCGGGGGUAGAGCACUGUUUCGGCAAGGGGGUCAUCCCGACUUACCAACCCGAUGCAAACUGCGAAUACCGGAGAAUGUUAUCACGGGAGACACACGGCGGGUGCUAACGUCCGUCGUGAAGAGGGAAACAACCCAGACCGCCAGCUAAGGUCCCAAAGUCAUGGUUAAGUGGGAAACGAUGUGGGAAGGCCCAGACAGCCAGGAUGUUGGCUUAGAAGCAGCCAUCAUUUAAAGAAAGCGUAAUAGCUCACUGGUCGAGUCGGCCUGCGCGGAAGAUGUAACGGGGCUAAACCAUGCACCGAAGCUGCGGCAGCGACACUAUGUGUUGUUGGGUAGGGGAGCGUUCUGUAAGCCUGUGAAGGUGGCCUGUGAGGGUUGCUGGAGGUAUCAGAAGUGCGAAUGCUGACAUAAGUAACGAUAAAGCGGGUGAAAAGCCCGCUCGCCGGAAGACCAAGGGUUCCUGUCCAACGUUAAUCGGGGCAGGGUGAGUCGACCCCUAAGGCGAGGCCGAAAGGCGUAGUCGAUGGGAAACAGGUUAAUAUUCCUGUACUUGGUGUUACUGCGAAGGGGGGACGGAGAAGGCUAUGUUGGCCGGGCGACGGUUGUCCCGGUUUAAGCGUGUAGGCUGGUUUUCCAGGCAAAUCCGGAAAACCAAGGCUGAGGCGUGAUGACGAGGCACUACGGUGCUGAAGUGACAAAUGCCCUGCUUCCAGGAAAAGCCUCUAAGCAUCAGGUAACAUCAAAUCGUACCCCAAACCGACACAGGUGGUCAGGUAGAGAAUACCAAGGCGCUUGAGAGAACUCGGGUGAAGGAACUAGGCAAAAUGGUGCCGUAACUUCGGGAGAAGGCACGCUGAUAUGUAGGUGAAGCGACUUGCUCGUGGAGCUGAAAUCAGUCGAAGAUACCAGCUGGCUGCAACUGUUUAUUAAAAACACAGCACUGUGCAAACACGAAAGUGGACGUAUACGGUGUGACGCCUGCCCGGUGCCGGAAGGUUAAUUGAUGGGGUUAGCGCAAGCGAAGCUCUUGAUCGAAGCCCCGGUAAACGGCGGCCGUAACUAUAACGGUCCUAAGGUAGCGAAAUUCCUUGUCGGGUAAGUUCCGACCUGCACGAAUGGCGUAAUGAUGGCCAGGCUGUCUCCACCCGAGACUCAGUGAAAUUGAACUCGCUGUGAAGAUGCAGUGUACCCGCGGCAAGACGGAAAGACCCCGUGAACCUUUACUAUAGCUUGACACUGAACAUUGAGCCUUGAUGUGUAGGAUAGGUGGGAGGCUUUGAAGUGUGGACGCCAGUCUGCAUGGAGCCGACCUUGAAAUACCACCCUUUAAUGUUUGAUGUUCUAACGUGGACCCGUAAUCCGGGUUGCGGACAGUGUCUGGUGGGUAGUUUGACUGGGGCGGUCUCCUCCUAAAGAGUAACGGAGGAGCACGAAGGUUGGCUAAUCCUGGUCGGACAUCAGGAGGUUAGUGCAAUGGCAUAAGCCAGCUUGACUGCGAGCGUGACGGCGCGAGCAGGUGCGAAAGCAGGUCAUAGUGAUCCGGUGGUUCUGAAUGGAAGGGCCAUCGCUCAACGGAUAAAAGGUACUCCGGGGAUAACAGGCUGAUACCGCCCAAGAGUUCAUAUCGACGGCGGUGUUUGGCACCUCGAUGUCGGCUCAUCACAUCCUGGGGCUGAAGUAGGUCCCAAGGGUAUGGCUGUUCGCCAUUUAAAGUGGUACGCGAGCUGGGUUUAGAACGUCGUGAGACAGUUCGGUCCCUAUCUGCCGUGGGCGCUGGAGAAUUGAGGGGGGCUGCUCCUAGUACGAGAGGACCGGAGUGGACGCAUCACUGGUGUUCGGGUUGUCAUGCCAAUGGCACUGCCCGGUAGCUAAAUGCGGAAGAGAUAAGUGCUGAAAGCAUCUAAGCACGAAACUUGCCCCGAGAUGAGUUCUCCCUGACUCCUUGA